UACGGAGGGUGCGAGCGUUUGUCCGGAAUCAUUGGGCGUAAAGGGCGCGUAGGUGGCGGGACAAGCGUGCGGUGAAAGCUCGGGCUCAACCCCGCGUCGGCCGUGCGAACUGUUUUGCUUGAGCACUGUAGAGGCAGGCGGAAUUCCGGGUGUAGCGGUGGAAUGCGUAGAGUAUUCGGAGGAACACCAGUGGCGAAAGCGACUUUCUGGGGCAUUCCUGACGCUGAGGUUCGAAAGCUCGGGGAGCAAACAGG
rnacentral:rRNA from 1 species